rnacentral:rRNA from 1 species
GAUGAACGCUGGCGGCGUGCCUAAUACAUGCGAGUCGAGCGAACAGACGAGGAGCUUGCUUCUCUGAUGUUAGCGGCGGACGGGUGAGUAACACGUGGAUAACCUACCUAUAAGACUGGGAUAACUUCGGGAAACCGGAGCUAAUACCGGAUAAUAUUUUGAACCGCAUGGUUCAAUAGUGAAAGACGGUCUUGCUGUCACUUAUAGAUGGAUCCGCGCUGCAUUAGCUAGUUGGUAAGGUAACGGCUUACCAAGGCAACGAUGCGUAGCCGACCUGAGAGGGUGAUCGGCCACACUGGAACUGAGACACGGUCCAGACUCCUACGGGAGGCAGCAGUAGGGAAUCUUCCGCAAUGGGCGAAAGCCUGACGGAGCAACGCCGCGUGAGUGAUGAAGGUCUUCGGAUCGUAAAACUCUGUUAUUAGGGAAGAACAUAUGUGUAAGUAACUGUGCACAUCUUGACGGUACCUAAUCAGAAAGCCACGGCUAACUACGUG